rnacentral:rRNA from 1 species
CAAUAGCGUAUAUUAAAGUUGUUGCAGUUAAAAAGCUCGUAGUUGGAUUUGUGGCGUACGGUGUGUUCCGGGCACUUGUUGUCUGAGUAACCUGCUGUUGCCAUCCUUGGGUGCAACCUGUGUGGCAUUAGGUUGUCGUGCAGGGGAUGCCCAUCAUUUACUGUGAAAAAAUUAGAGUGUUCAAAGCAGGCUUAUGCCGUUGAAUAUAUUAGCAUGGAAUAAUGAGAUAGGACUUUUUUGCUAUUUUGUUGGUUUGCGCAAAGAGGUAAUGAUUAAUAGGGACAGUUGGGGGUAUUCGUAUUCCAUUGUCAGAGGUGAAAUUCUUGGAUUUUUGGAAGACGAACUACUGCGAAAGCAUUUACCAAGGAUGUUUUCAUUAA